rnacentral:rRNA from 1 species
GGGGGAAGUAUUGCACAAUGGAGGAAACUCUGAUGCAGCGACGCCGCGUGGAGGAAGAAGGUUUUCGGAUUGUAAACUCCUGUUGUUGGGGAAAAUAAGGAUGGUACCCAACAAGGAAGUGACGGCUAACUACGUGCCAGCAGCCGCGGUAAAACGUAGGUCACAAGCGUUGUCCGGAAUUACUGGGUGUAAAGGGAGCGCAGGCGGGUAUGCAAGUUGGAAGUGAAAUACAUGGGCUCAACCCAUGAACUGCUUUCAAAACUGUGUAUCUUGAGUAGUGCAGAGGUAGGCGGAAUUCCCGGUGUAGCGGUGGAAUGCGUAGAUAUCGGGAGGAACACCAGUGGCGAAGGCGGCCUACUGGGCACCAACUGACGCUGAGGCUCGAAAGUGUGGGUAGCAAACAGGAUUAGAUACCCCAGU